GGGUUGUGAGGUUAAGCGACUAAGCGUACACGGUGGAUGCCCUGGCAGUCAGAGGCGAUGAAGGACGUGCUAAUCUGCGAUAAGCGCCGGUAAGGUGAUAUGAACCGUUAUAACCGGCGAUUUCCGAAUGGGGAAACCCAGUGUGACUCGUCACACUAUCAUUAACUGAAUCCAUAGGUUAAUGAGGCGAACCGGGGGAACUGAAACAUCUAAGUACCCCGAGGAAAAGAAAUCAACCGAGAUUCCCCCAGUAGCGGCGAGCGAACGGGGAGGAGCCCAGAGCCUGAAUCAGCAUGUGUGUUAGUGGAAGCGUCUGGAAAGGCGCGCGAUACAGGGUGACAGCCCCGUACACAAAAGCGCAUGUGCUGUGAGCUCGAUGAGUAGGGCGGGACACGUGGUAUCCUGUCUGAAUAUGGGGGGACCAUCCUCCAAGGCUAAAUACUCCUGACUGACCGAUAGUGAACCAGUACCGUGAGGGAAAGGCGAAAAGAACCCCGGCGAGGGGAGUGAAAAAGAACCUGAAACCGUGUACGUACAAGCAGUGGGAGCCCCACCACUAAGCCAGUGGUGAACUCCACAUACGCAUCCUUUGCUGAGGAUACGGUUAACGGAGCGAAAGCGACGUUCAACCGCAAAAGAAGCAGAGGGGGCUUAGUGGUGGGGUGACUGCGUACCUUUUGUAUAAUGGGUCAGCGACUUAUAUUCUGUAGCAAGGUUAACCGAAUAGGGGAGCCGGAGGGAAACCGAGUCUUAACCGGGCGUUAAGUUGCAGGGUAUAGACCCGAAACCCGGUGAUCUAGCCAUGGGCAGGUUGAAGGUUGGGUAACACUAACUGGAGGACCGAACCGACUAAUGUUGAAAAAUUAGCGGAUGACCUGUGGCUGGGGGUGAAAGGCCAAUCAAACCGGGAGAUAGCUGGUUCUCCCCGAAAGCUAUUUAGGUAGCGCCUCGUGAAUUCAUCUCCGGGGGUAGAGCACUGUUUCGGCUAGGGGGCCAUCCCGGCUUACCAACCCGAUGCAAACUGCGAAUACCGGAGAAUGUUAUCACGGGAGACACACGGCGGGUGCUAACGUCCGUCGUGAAGAGGGAAACAACCCAGACCGCCAGCUAAGGUCCCAAAGUCAUGGUUAAGUGGGAAACGAUGUGGGAAGGCCCAGACAGCCAGGAUGUUGGCUUAGAAGCAGCCAUCAUUUAAAGAAAGCGUAAUAGCUCACUGAUCGAGUCGGCCUGCGCGGAAGAUGUAACGGGGCUAAACCAUGCACCGAAGCUGCGGCAGCGAACGUAUCACUUAAAGCGAUUCAGCGGGUUACGAUUGACGGAGCGAAGCGACGUCAAAGCGUAUACAAAGUCGAGUCGGUUUAAGGAUACGUUCGUUGGGUAGGGGAGCGUUCUGUAAGCCUGUGAAGGUGGCCUGUGAGGGUUGCUGGAGGUAUCAGAAG
rnacentral:rRNA from 1 species